rnacentral:rRNA from 1 species
CAGUAGCCGCGGUAAGACAGAGGAUGCAAGCGUUACCCGGAAUGAUUAGGCGUAAAGCGUCUGUAGGUGGCUUUUCAAGUCCACCGUCAAAUCCUCGGGCUCAACCCUCGAUAGGCAGUGGAAACUACCAAGAUGGAGUACGGUAGGGGCAGAGGGAAUUUCCGGUGGAGCGGUGAAAUGCGUUGAGAUCGGAAAGAACACCAAUUGUGAAAGCACUCUGCUGGGCCGACACUGACACUGAGAGACGAAAGCUAGGGGAGCAAAUGGGAUUAGAUACCCGCGUAGUCCCUGUCUCUUAUAC